GAGAACGAUGGAGGAGGAGAGGAGUUAGAGGUUGGCUGGAGGAGGAAAGGAGUGAGUUGCCGAUGUGUAAAGUGAAACGCAUAUGGGCUCGCAUGAACUUCGUUUGUGUUCGUGAGGUGGAAAUGUGCGGACAGGAUUCUCCCGUGAACCUGACGGAAUUGUGGAGCGGUGUGAGUGACGUGCUAGUUUAACUAUCUGUUUAGCUAAUGCUAACGGCCAGCAGGACUUGGCUGAAGCAUUGACGGCUUGCCAAUGCAAAGACUGGAGACCUCAGAGCGAAUAAUCGGAACUCGAAGGAAGAAGUUGUGAUGGAACCGUAUUGGUUGCGAUGAAAACGGUCCCCCCCCCCGGACCUGUCAGGAGUUUGGGGUCAUUCUUUACAAGGGACGUUCAUCGGCCCAUGGCUGUUGUGACUGAGGGGACUCCCUCCUGAGAUGGAUCAGGGACUUAACGGACUGAUAUGGUGAAGAAUUUGGACACAUUAAAAUUCAAACAGUAACUCCAUCGGCUCCCAAAGAAAGAGAAGGAAGCAGAAGAAAAUAAAACAGCUCCUCCCCAUCUCUUCAGCAGCUUCUGCCCCGUCCUAAGAGAUUGGAGCUGCAGAAUAAAGAAGGCGUCUGUACUCUUCCAGGACCUGACUUAGAGGAAGAGUCGGUGGAUAAAGUUCCAGUGCUUCUACAAUUGUGGCAUUUGAAAAUGCAUUUCCACCCUCAGAUGACAAUCUCACAAUAUGCAGCACGACAUCUACAUGAAGAACAAGAUUAUUUUAAUCUGUAGUUCCAAAUAUGAUCAUCAGUAUGUUCUUAUGAAGAGCAGACAGUGUGGAUGUGAGCUUUAACCUAAAGCAUUGUGUCUUAGCAGGUCACUUAGAUUGGUCUCAUAGGAUCACAGAUUUAAUAAAAGCAAGCAGUAUCUUACAGAGUAUUUCAACCCAUGAGGAGUCUUGAACAUCGAAGGUUCCUCAUUCAUCCAUUGAGGUUAAUAAUCUUAUUUCGUUGAAUUUAGAAAUCAUGGGAGCUUUGGAAUAAAUAAUUAUUACUAGUAAUUUUGGAAGGUUGUGGAAAUGACAGUGAUAAACAAUGAUGUGUUCACUUGGUGCUUGGAAAUCAAAUUUUCCAAGCUCCAGAUUGAAGGUACAGAAAUUCCCAUUGAAGUCUGAAUUCUGACUGGUACAGUCAGAGUUCUUUAAACAGCCAAGAGUUCAGUUUGCAAUAUAACCUCCAUGCAUACAGAAUGUAAUGAACGCUGGAGGUUUAAAUAAUUCAUUAGCACUUCUGACGGUUUGUUUCUCAUUAAACCAGUGACAAACAUAGAGCACUGUAGGAUCUCUAUUUAUAAAAAUGUUCAAUAUGUGCUUAAAGCAUGAAAUGAAGAAGAACAUAUUGCUAAUGUCUUGUAUCACUAACAGAAGUUGAAAGUCUCUCAACAAUUACCAAAUUCCACUGGUUUUUAGACGUGCACCUACAACACAUUGAGUCUAGGUGUGACAUUGCAAAUCAUUAUGCCUAAAGUAAAAAAAAAAUGGUAUUAUUGUUGAUAUAUUUGUGGAGCUCAAGAGUCUCCCUGAUGUCCCCCAAAAUACAUAUUUAUGAAAAGAUGGGAUUAAUCUUCAUUCAUAAUAGUUACUUGUGGGUUUUUCCAAGUCAAAAAUCUAAAAUCUCCAAUUAAUUCUUAAGGUACGUUCACACUGCAGGUCUUGAUGCGCUGAGUUUGUUACUGAAAUCUGAUUUUAUUGAGUGUGAUUAUUCAUGCUACUAAUUAAAUAUAACCCUAAUCAAACUUAUGUGUGAAUGGUUCUCACUUUAGAUUUAUAGGGAAGUUAUAAUGAUCGUCUAUGAACAUUAACAUAAUUUAGUGAAGUUGUACUUUUAAUACAAAGCAAAAAAGGAUUAGGCUAAACUGCAGGUAAGUUCAUUAGUAAAAACCUGUAGAUUGCAGAAACAAAACUAAUACUAAAUAUUUUUGAUUAACAGUAUUUUUAGUCAAAAAUAUUUGACUAUUAGCUUUCACUCUGGCAAAAGAAGCUUCUGGAAAAAACAUGAAUAAGUAUGAGAAACGGUGGUAGUUUUGUGUGGCAUUUUCACUGUCCUAGCAGAGAUGAAUGUGUUUUGUACUCCAACACCUGUGAUCUCUUCACAUCUGUUCAUCCUGCAGAGGGAGGGGUCAUCUACACUCAUGGUAAUUUUUCUUGUUUUCUGUCUUGUGUUUUGAAUCUUUGCAGUAAUAUAAUAUCAUGACAUUUACUCAGAGUGAUUACAUAGAUCCUGAGUUGUAAACAAGGGCAGAUGCUGUGCCAGAUGUGCUGACAACAGGACAUGUACACAAAGCUGUGAAGGUGACAUUUUAUUACCUAAAACAGUGGUUUCCAGAACUAGACCCAUCUAAAUCAUAAUUUUUCAUUUUGCAUAUCUCAUCAAAAAUCUCAUCUGGAGCAGCAGCUGCAAAUACAGGAUGCUUCUGUGACAAACUACAGACAUUUCAAACUGAGUUUGGGUUUCUGCAGUACACAUCUUUGCAUGAUGUGUACUGCAAAGAUGUACAGUACACAUCUCUUAAACAUUUUGUGUUUUGUCACAUCACAA